rnacentral:lncRNA from 1 species
AGGCUACUCAAGAGCAGCUAACUGAGCAAAUAGCAGAAACAGUUCGCCAAGAACAGAACAGUAGAAAACCCCAGGCAGAGCCGAAGACAGUGACAGAAGGGAUUAUUGCUUCUGAAGAAGAAAAAAAUGAUUACAAGUGCAUCGCAUUUUCAGAGAAACCCACUGCCUGGCCUCUGGUGGACACUUAGGCAUAGAAUCAGCAUUUAGGGAAAAGCCAAAUCAAAGAGAGGUGAAUUCUUUACCGCUGAGCUGGAUGAGAUGUUUACAUGGACAAAAAGAUUGAGAAGCAAAAACACAAUGAGAAAGUGUAUUUUUGGCCUAGAAAAUGGAAAGAGAGAAGGAAAAAUAUCACUCCAGUCAGAAUGAGCACAGUGAACUGAAGUUAAAUACAGUAUAUUUUAUUUUGUGUCUCCCAUUUUCUUAUGUUACAACUUCAUUGAAAGAGAUGUGCAUGCAUGCUAAGUCCCUUCAGUCAUGCCUGAUUUUUUGUGACUCUGUGGACUGUAGUCAGCCAGGCUUUUCUGCCCACAGGAUUCUCCAAACCAGAAUACUGGAGUAAGUUGCAAGAGAGGUGAGAGGAAGACAAUUAAGUUGUUAUUAUCAAAUACUGGAGAAGGGCAUGGUGACCUACUCCAGCAUUCUUCCCUGGAGAAUCCCAUGGACAGAGGCGCCUGGCAGGCUGUAGUCCAGAGGGUUGUACAGAAUCAGACAUAACUGAAGCGACUGAGCACACGUUACCAAAUAUUGUUCUGCUGUGUUGCUGAAGCUUAUGAAGACGGCCCUGGAGCUUUUUCAGAGUUGUUUUACUUUAUGAAUAACUGUUUAAUUGUCCACUUGUUGGAGAACAGAUGCUGGGAUCUCCUA